GCGGUCGAGGAAGCGGGAAUCAGCGUCGGGAGAGAGAGCGCCGUUGAUUCUGUCAUCGAAUUCAGAACUGAUUUUGUGGGAGAGUUUCUUCGCGGCGUAGACGGUAACCGGAGAAUAGAGGCGGCGGGAGUAGCAAGAAGAAAACCGGAGCGACGGCGAAAAAGAAGAACAUGGAGUGAAA